GACGAGCCACACGAACGUUAUUCGGAAUUACUGGGCUUAAAGGGUGCGUAGGCUGCGCGGAAAGUUGGGUGUGAAAUCCCUCGGCUUAACCGAGGAACUGCGCCCAAAACUACCGUGCUCGAGGAAGAUAGAGGUGAGCGGAACUUACGGUGGAGCGGUGAAAUGCGUUGAUAUCGUAAGGAACACCCGUGGCGAAAGCGGCUCACUGGGUCUUUUCUGACGCUGAUGCACGAAAGCUAGGGGAGCAAACGGG
rnacentral:rRNA from 1 species